rnacentral:rRNA from 1 species
CCAUUAGGGUCCUCAAUUACAAGCAGUCGAACGAAGAGCCACUUUCGGGUGGGGUUAGUGGCGAACGGGUGAGUAGCACGUGGGCAAUCUGCCCUUCACUCUGGGACAAGCCCUGGAAACGGGGUCUAAUACCGGAUACUGACCUGCCAAGGCAUCUUGGCGGGUCGAAAGCUCCGGCGGUGAAGGAUGAGCCCGCGGCCUAUCAACUUGUUGGUGAGGUAAUGGCUCACCAAGGCGACGACGGGUAGCCGGCCUGAGAGGGCGACCGGCCACACUGGGACUGAGACACGGCCCAAACUCCUACGGGAGGCUCAGUGGGGAAUAUUGCACACUGGGCGAAAGCCUGAUGCAGCGACGCCGCGUGAGGGAUGACGGCCUUCGGGUUGUAAACCUCUUUCAGCAUGAAAGAAGCGAAAGUGACGGUACCUGCAGAACAAGCGCCGGCUAACUACAUGCCAACAGCCGCGGUAAUACGUAGGGCGCAGGCGUUGUCCGGAAUUAUUGGGCGUAAAGAGCUCGUAGGCGGCUUGUCACGUCGGUUGUGAAAUCCCGGGGCUUAACCCCGGGUCUGCAUUCCAUACGGGC